UCAAAUCAAAACAGGUUGUAAAUGGCAGCUGCUAGCUGUUAGUUUCUUUACAGGUUGUACUCACACUUGCUGCAACUACAAAGACUAAAGUUUCCUCCAUGUGCUAGUUGAAAGUGUGUUGAAAGACAGCAGAGAUGUGAGCUGCUGUGUGCUAGCUGAAAGGUUGUGUUUGCAAGCUGGAAGGAUGCAAUGUAUGUGUGUGCCAACUAUCCAAAGUUGCUGCAUGUGUUUGAAAGGUUGGAAAGAUGGUAAACACCAUCAUUCAUUGUAUGUGUUGUUGUAUUGUUUAUCAAUUUCUGUUUUGUAUAAAUAAGCCUUCUUGCUAGGCUUUAGAAUAUCAAUUCCAUUCCAAUUCCUUUCUCAUUUUCAGGUUGUAAGCUAUUGAGUUUGUAAACUCUCUUUUCAUAUAUCAAAGUCCAAGUGUUUUGCCAAAGCUUGUAGCUUCCCUCCUUUCUAUAUUUCUUUGUCCAAUUUUAUUGAGAGUGCAAAGUGAGAGGUGUGAUAGAGUUUGUAAACUUAUCACCCACAUAUUUUGGUAUUGAGUUAGUAAACUUUUCAAUACCAACAAUUGGUAUCAGAGCCAGAAUACCAUUCUGGUAGGUGCAGCAGUUAUGGCAUCCAACUUAGUACAGCUCCAAGUUCCCACAUUGAAGAAAGAAAAUUAUGAAAGAUGGUGCAUCCAAUUCAAAGCAUUGUUUGGAUCACAAGAGCUAUGGGAAGUUGUCAGUAGUGGGUAUGUUGUACCCACUACCGAGCAAGAAGCCACAUAUACUGCAGAUCAAAGGAACACUCUCAGGGAUUUACGAAAGAAGGACCAGAAGGCGUUGUAUCUUCUCUAUCAAGGAUUAGAAGAUUCAACGUUCGAGAAGGUUGCAGAAGCAACAACGAGCAAGCAAGUAUGGGACACACUCAGUACAAUCUACAAAGGAGUAGAUCGAGUCAAGAAAGUGAGAUUACAGUCACUUCGAGCAGAUUUUGAAACUGCUCACAUGAAUGAAGGGGAGAGCAUCUCCGACUAUCACUCAAGGCUCAUUGUGAUAGUAAAUCAGAUGGGGAGAAAUGGGGAGAGACUCGAUGAAGUACGAGUUGUGGAGAAGAUACUUCGAUCACUCACAUCUAAGUUUGAGCAUGUGGUGACUGCCAUUGAGGAAUCCAAGGAUUUGGAGGUCAUGAAUGCAGAUGAGCUACUAGGAUCCCUCCUAGUUCACGAGCAACGCAUUCAGAAGAAUGCAAGCCCCACAACGCUAGAGCAAGCUUUGGAGUCAAAGUUGAAUAUUGACAAACCAAAUAAAAGUCGUGGGCACUCACGUCGUGGGAGUUCAUCUAACCGUAGCCGAGGACGAGCCCGAGGAAGAGGUCGAGGCUAUGAACAAAACCGAGGUCAAUCUCAAGAGUGGAGAUCUACCCGAGGAAAGGCGCAUAUCCAAUGUCACACUUGCAAGCAAUAUGGACAUUAUGCAAAUGAAUGUUCAUAUAAAAAUGGUGAGCAUGUCAACAUGGCAGAAUCAAAUGGAAAUGCUGGUGAGGAACUUACAGUCUUACUAGCACACCAUGAUAUCAGUAGCCAACAAGAUGUUUGGUAUUUAGACUCUGGUGCAAGCAACCACAUGUGUGGAAAGAAAGAGUUUUUUGCCGAACUCAAAGAUGGGCCUUAUGGAUCUGUGAGUCUUGGUGACUCCUCAAAGUUGCCAGUUGAAGGCAAAGGAAAGAUCAAAAUCAUCCAGAAGGAUGGAAAAGAAGAAUACAUCUCCGAUACCUACUACAUACCAGGUAUGAAGAGCAACAUUCUGAGCAUUGGUCAACUGCUCCAGAAAGGGUAUGUUAUACAUAUGGAGGAUAUGUUUCUCACUCUCAGGAAUGCAAGGAGAAAGCUUAUUGCACGUGUUCAAAUGUUAAAAAAUCGAAUGUUCUCGUUGAAGUUGAACACAAAGAUUGGGAGUUGCAACAUUGGUGUAAUGGAAGAUGAGUCAUGGAAAUGGCAUCUUCGAUAUGGCAAUCUUCAUUUCAAUGGCCUAAAGUUGCUGUCAAGUGGAGGAAUGGUUCGUGGUCUACCCCAGAUUGAAGCCACACGCCAAGUAUGUGAAGGUUGUGUGCUUGGCAAGCAAGCACGACUAUCAUUCCCUGUUGGUGAUACAUGGAGAGCAAAGGCACCACUGCAGAUGGUACACACGGAUAUAUGUGGUCCAUUGGAUCCUAUGUCUUAUGGAGGCAAUAGGUAUUUUAUUACUUUCAUUGAUGAUUUCAGUAGGAAGACUUGGGUUUAUUUUCUCAAGGAGAAGUCGGCUGCCCUAAGAAUCUUCAAGGAGUUCAAGGCACUCACAGAGUCUGAAAGCAACCAUAAGCUUGUGGCUGUGAGAUCAGAUAGAGGUGGAGAGUACACCUCCAAUGUUUUCCAAGCAUACUGCAAGGAGCAAGGAAUUAGGCAUCAACUGACUGCUGCCUAUACCCCACAGCAAAAUAGGAUAGCCGAAAGAAAGAAUCGAACCAUCCUUGACAUGACAAGGUCCAUGCUUAAGGAGAAGAAUUUGCCAAAAGAAUUGUGGGCAGAAGCUGUAGCUUGUUCGAUUUAUUUGUUGAAUCGAUGUCCAACAAAGAGUGUCAAGAGGAUGACACCACAAGAAGCUUGGAGUGGAUACAAGCCGAGUGUUGCACACCUAAGAGUUUUUGGGUGUGUUGCAUAUGCUCAAGUUCCAGAAGCCAAAAGGAGAAAGCUCGAUGAUCAAGGUGAAAAGUGUGUGUUUGUGGGUUAUAGUGAAGAGUCCAAGGCAUACAAGCUCUACAACCCACUAACUGGCAAAAUAGUGGUUAGUAGAGAUGUCAUCUUCAGUGAGGAAGAGGCAUGGAAGUGGAACAACAAAGAAGUCAGUAAAGAGAAGAUUGUCUCCACUGUUUUUGAAGAACCAGAAGUUAUACCACCUGUUGAGCAACAGCCUGCUCAAACAAUCACAACAACUCCAGUGCACAGAAUUGCAAGGAGUGGUCCUACAUCCAGUGAAGAAAGCAGUUCCUCAACUCCAGUAAGGCUAAGAAGUCUCACUGAGAUAUAUGGACAAGAAGAAGAAGAAGAAACCAACUUUUUCUGCUUGUAUGCAGACCACGAGCCUCUCUCAUUCAAUGAAGCUGUGGAAGAAGAUUGUUGGAAGAAAGCCAUGGAAGAAGAGAUCCAUGCCAUCGAGAAGAAUGACACUUGGGAGUUGACAAAGCUCCCACCAAAUCAGAAGGCUAUUGGUGUCAAGUGGGUGUACAAGAUCAAACGCACUGCAGACGGGAGUGUGGAUCGGUACAAAUCAAGGCUUGUAGCAAAGGGCUACAAACAGAAGUAUGGAGUGGACUAUGAUGAAGUCUAUGCUCCAGUUGCAAGACUUGACACGAUAAGAUUGCUAAUCUCUCUUGCCGCUCAUUAUAAAUGGAAAAUUUAUCAACUAGAUGUCAAGUCAGCCUUCCUUAAUGGAGUUCUUGAGGAAGAAGUGUACGUGGAACAACCAAAAGGCUUUCAAGUACAAGGAAAAGAAGAUAAGGUGUAUCGUUUGAAGAAGGCUUUGUAUGGCCUCAAGCAAGCACCACGAGCUUGGAACUCAAGGAUUGACAACUACCUUCACCAAAAUGGAUUUCAAAAAUGUCCAUACGAGCAUUCAGUUUACAUGAAGAAUGGUGCAAAAGGGGAGUUCUUAAUUAUUUGUCUCUAUGUAGAUGACUUGUUGUUUACAGGAAACAAUGAAGCAAUGUUCUGUGAGUUCAAGCAAUCCAUGUUCAGUGAAUUCGAGAUGACUGACAAUGGAUUAAUGUCAUACUUUCUUGGCAUAGAGGUGAAGCAAGAAAGUGACGGUAUUUACAUCUCUCAACAAAAGUACAUGAGAGAUAUAUUGGAGAAAUUCAAUAUGGAUAAGUGCAAUAUUGUCAACACUCCAGUUGCAACUGGAUUGAAGCUAUCUAAAGAAGGAGAAGGUGAGUUUGUAAACUCAACCGUGUACAAAAGCUUGGUUGGAAGUCUAAGGUACCUUACAAUCACAAGACCUGAUAUAGUUUAUGGAGUUGGACUCGUGAGUCGGUACAUGGAAACAUCAAGGGAGUCUUAUUAGCUGGCUGUCAAGAGAAUCUUGAGGUACAUAAGAGGUACUCUAAACUAUGGUCUGUUUUAUAAUUUUGGUGAAGAUGCAAAAUUAUUUGGUUAUUCAGAUAGUGAUUGGGGAGGUGACCAAGAUGAAAGGAAAAGCACAACUGGCUAUGUGUUUUUUCUAGGAUCAACAGCUUUCUCAUGGACUUCAAAGAAGUAAUCAAUUGUUGCUUUGUCAUCAUGUGAAGCCGAGUAUGUUGCUGUAGCCUCAACAGUGUGUGAGGCAAUUUGGUUAAGAAAUCUAUUGAAGUCAGUGUGUCAUCCACAAGUGGAAUCGACUGUGAUUCAUGUGGAUAACAUGUCUGCAAUCAAGCUUGCAAAGAAUCUUGUUCAACAUGGAAGGAGCAAGCACAUUGAUACCAGGUUCCAUUUUCUAAGGGAUCAUGUAAAGCAAAAGACAAUCGAACUUGUCUAUUAUCACACGAAGGAACAAGUGGCAGACAUCUUCACUAAGCCACUACUAGUUGAAUCAUUCCGGCUGCUACGUGAAAUGCUAGGAAUGAAGGCGUUUUGAUUUGAGGAGGUGUGUUGGAAAUUCAAAUCAAAACAGGUUGUAAAUGGCAGCUGCUAGCUGUUAGUUUCUUUAUAGGUUGUACUCACACUUGCUGCAACUACAAAGACUAAAGUUUCCUCCAUGUGCUAGCUGAAAGUGUGUUGAAAGACAGCAGAGAUGUGAGCUGUUGUGUGCUAGCCGAAAGGUUGUGUUUGCAAGCUGGAAGGAUGCAAUGUAUGUGUGUGCCAACUAUCCAAAGUUGCUGCAUGUGUUUGAAAGGGUGGAAAGAUGGUAAACACCAUCAUUCAUUGUAUGUGUUGUUGUAUUGUUUAUCAAUUUCUGUUUUGUAUAAAUAGGCCUUCUUGC
rnacentral:lncRNA from 1 species